AUUAAAUUUUAGAUGUAUCUUUAAAUAGGUUUGGGUCUACCCUACCUCUCUAGUGGAUGACUGCCCCACCCAUGGAUAACCGGCUUCUGAUGAGAGGAUGCUCUUACACUUUAGUUGUACAGGCUUUGUACCUUUGUGGAGUCAAUCAUUAAGAUUUGGGACAGGUGUUAUGCCCUAAAAAAAAAAACACAAAAUGUUACAUGGAGGAGGGGAGGUAAUUUCAGAAUACCUCCUUGUAUCACAAAGAGGGAAGGAGAGAACCAAAAACCUAUAAAAAUUGAUCACGAGAUUAAUGGACGGCCCCUAACAUGCAAGUAGUGAAAGUAUCCUUUUGUUGGGACUCAAACUGCCUCACGUCUACGUACAGGACCCAUGUGACGUUCCUGAGUCGACCACUCUAAUUGCAUUGCCAUUGGAUUACUUGAAGACCGUCUUGAAGAAUUAGCGGCUUGCUGUUUUAUCCUAAGCCUGAACAGGCAAUAAUAGACACAAUAAUAUAAUAAUAAGAAUACAC